AUUGUGCUUCCAAAUCAACAACAUGUGUGCCAUGAUUAUCACUCUUAAUAUCAAUUAAGGUAUAGAUAAAUCAAAGAGAAAAUGAAUUAAUUUGUGAAAUAUAGAAAUCCUUACUAUUCUCCACCCAAGCCAGCUUCCACAUAAAGUACAGCAGACAGAAACAAAAAGACCACCACGAAAAUGAUCGUAUGCUCUAGGCAUCACACAAAUACUGCACACUUGGAACAUCAUAAAUCUUAUAAUUAAAACAGUCAACAACAUUUAGUUUUGAGAGCAUGG
rnacentral:lncRNA from 1 species